rnacentral:rRNA from 1 species
GAUGAACGCUGGCGGCGUGCCUAAUACAUGCAAGUCGAGCGAACAGACGAGGAGCUUGCUUCUCUGACGUUAGCGGCGGACGGGUGAGUAACACGUGGAUAACCUACCUAUAAGACUGGGAUAACUUCGGGAAACCGGAGCUAAUACUGGAUAAUAUAUUGAACCGCAUGGUUCAAUAGUGAAAGACGGUUUUGCUGUCACUUAUAGAUGGAUCCGCGCCGCAUUAGCUAGUUGGUAAGGUAACGGCUUACCAAGGCAACGAUGCGUAGCCGACCUGAGAGGGGGAGCGGCCACACUGGAACUGAGACACGGCCCAGACCCCUAGGGGAGGCAGCAGGAGGGAAUUUUCCGAAAGGGGAGAAAGCCUGAGGGAGCAACGCCGGGGGGGGGAUGAAGGUUUUCGGAUCGUAAAACUCUGUUAUUAGGGAAAAAAAAAUGUGUAAGUAACUAUGCACGUCUUGACGGUACCUAACCAGAAAGCCACGGCUAACUACGU